CAGCCGCGUAAUUCCAGCUCCAAUAGCGUAUAUUAAAGUUGUUGCAGUUAAAAAGCUCGUAGUUGAACUUCGGGAUCAAUUAGUUGGUCAUGCCUUGGUAUGUACUGAUUUUAUUGGUUCUCACCUUCUAAAGAACUAUAAUGUCAUUUAUUUGAUGUUAUAGGGAAUUAGGACUGUUACCUUGAAAAAAUUAGAGUGUUUAAAGCAGGCUCACGCUUGAAUACAUUAGCAUGGAAUAAUGAAAUAGGACAUCGCAUUCUAUUUUGUUGGUUUCUAGGAUCGAUGUAAUGAUUAAUAGGGAUAGUUGGGGGCAUUAGUAUUCAAUUGUCAGAGGUGAAAUUCUUGGAUUUAUUGAAGACUAACUACUGCGAAAGCAUUUGCCAAGGAUGUUUUCAUUAAUCAAGAACGAAAGUUAGGGGAUCGAAGACGAUCAGAUACCGUCGUAGUCUUAACCAUAAACUAUGCCGACUAGGGAUCGGAUGAUGUUGAUUUUUUAAUGACUCAUUCGGCACCUUACG
rnacentral:misc_RNA from 1 species